UGGAGACUUGGUAGUGGGAGCCUUAGAGCUUAUGUCCUUCCAUUCCAAUGUCUUCUCACCCUGAAUGAGAAUGCGCUGAGAAGAGAAAGGAGGGUGACACAUGAAGAAGUGCAGGCUCCUCAUCCUAAUCCAUGCACUUCCCACAUCAGACAGGCUCUUCUCCAGCAAAAUGAAUUUUCUUCACAGGCAGAGGUGCCCAGAGAGAGGGUGGUCUCCUGACACAAGCUACAGCUUCAGGCCUCCUUCCCAGAACUGUAACCACAUCAGGUCAAUCUGGUUCAAUCUUUAUGCCACAAAGUGGUGAGUUUUUCAGGUGCUGUGGACCUCCAGGUUGAAGAUCACAUAACCAGAGCACGCCCACAGGAAUCAAGCAUGCAACCACAGGCAGAACCUAAGCGUGUAGAUUGAGGAGAGGGAACUGAAUUUAGAAGUGGACUCCACAUGGCAGGAUCCAAGAACCAAUCAGAUUGAGCCUUGUCAACACCCCACAGCAGGGUCCAAUCAGAUCACACCUCUGACUGUAAAACCUGUUUCAAACCCCAACUCCAGGAGACAGAUUUGAGUUCAAUUCCUGUCUCCUUGUUUUGGUCACCUGACAAUAGACUUUUCUCCCUGCAAAGACCUGGUUCUUUGGUGUCUGGCUUUCUGUUGCUCGCAGGCAACUGAACAAAUUUUGGUUCAGUUA
rnacentral:lncRNA from 1 species